CGGGACGGGUGAGUAAUGCUUGGGAAUCUAGCUUAUGGAGGGGGAUAACUACGGGAAACUGUAGCUAAUACCGCGUAGAAUCGGGGGAUGAAAGUGUGGGACCUUCGGGCCACAUGCCAUAGGAUGAGCCCAAGUGGGAUUAGGUAGUUGGUGAGGUAAAGGCUCACCAAGCCGACGAUCUCUAGCUGGUCUGAGAGGAUGACCAGCCACACUGGGACUGAGACACGGCCCAG
rnacentral:rRNA from 1 species